UAUGAUGGCCGAGUGUUAGGCAGUGGGUUGUAAAUCCAUAGACGGGGGUUCAAACCCCCCUCCUGC
rnacentral:tRNA from 1 species